CCAUCAGCCACAAGACUGCAUAGCUGUUUCUUGGUCCUCACAAGAAUCCUCCCCAAGAGCAUCAGUGACUCCAUCUUCAGAGGAAGAUAUUGAGGUGAUGACUUGAGUCUGACACCAAAGCUCAGGUUUGGACCAUAGCUGACCCUCACCUUACCCUACGGAAUUUACUUUUGUUCUGCAAAGAGAAUGUUGUUUCUAGGGAGAAGGGGGUAUCAUCAUUCCAUAUGGAACUUCCAGGAAGGGUGAUAAGGGGACAGAGGAGAGACCCCCAGAAGAUGCUGCUUCUCCUGCUCGGCUGUCUCCUACCUGCUGCCAAUGGGAAGAGCUGUCUCCUCUGCUGGCCAGGACUGCCUGCAUUGUUAGACUAUGAUCUGCAGAUUCUUUGGGGCACCCCAGGGCCACCCACAGAGCUCUCCCAAAGCCUCCACACCUUAUUCCUGAAGGAUCAUGUCUUCAUCGAACCCUGGUAUCUUGAUCAGAACCGUAUGGAAGAAGCAGCAGCCAAAUUAUUCAAUCACAUAGAUGAAGCCAUCAAGAAGUUCCGAGAUAAUAAACCAUCACUUUUGGAAGAGAUUCAUAUCCAGCAGAAGGUGUUUACUGAGAAGCUGGAUGAGAUAUCUGAGGAGCUGAAGGAGAAGGCCUGCAGCAAGUCCUGUGACCUACGCUCCACACUGGAGGUCAUGAACUGUGCCAACUGCAAGACACACUUCCUCACCUGCAAAGACCCCACUCUUUGCCCAGCCAGUACUGGGAGUACCUUUGCAUGGUUUGUGAGCCUUGGCAUUAUUCUGUUCCUGGCAUCUGUAGCUGGAAGUGGAUGCUACAUUUUCUGGCAUGAGAAGAGGAAGAAGGAAAUAGAAAAGGUGCUGGAAAGGGAGACCCCUGCCAGAAUAUAGGGGUUCCAAGAGGGUAAAGCUGGGGAUAGCAAGGCUGGAGGCCCCAACUCUGGCUCCAACAGUCUGACAUCCAGAGCACACAGGAACCCAGCAGUCCACCGGUCUUCCACAGCUGAGCAGAGAUAGUGCAGUUGCUGUCAGGAAGCCCUUUCAUCACUGGGUUCCUGUAACCAUCCCUUCCCUGACCCGCUCAGACCUGGUGUGGUCGCAGCUUUGUGACCCAAGAGACCACCCUCUGUCUUGUGGCUUCCCUAUGCACAUACUUUAUAAACACCUUUUAUUAAAAUACUUUCCUACUAUUGGAA